CCUACGGGAGGCAGCAGUAGGGAAUUUUCGGCAAUGGGCGGAACCCUGACCGAGCAACGUCGCGUGAACGAAGACGUUAUUCGUAAUGUAAAGCUCUUUUAAUAGGGAAGAAAGAGAAAUCUGAUGGUACCUGAAGAAUAAGCUCCGGCAAACUACGUCCCAGCAGACGCGGUAAUACGUAGGGAGCGUGCGUUAUCCGAAAUUAUUGGCCGUAAAGGGUGCGUAGAUGGAAUAGUAAGUCUUUUGUAAAAAUGCUGGGCUAAACCCAGUAGGGCAAAAGAUACUGGAAAGCUAGAGUAUGACAGAGGCAAGUGGAACUACAGGUGUAGCGGUAAAAUGCGUAAAUAUAUGGAAGAACACCAGUGGCGAAGGCAGCUUGCUGGGUCGAUACUGACAUUGAGGCACGAAAGCGUGGGGAGCAAACAGGAUUAGAUACCCGUGUAGUC
rnacentral:rRNA from 1 species